CACCCCUCCCCAGACAUCCCUUCUGGCCCCCGUGGUGCAGCUAAACCUCACAAAUGUGAAGACUGAAGCAUCUAUUGGGAAGGCUAAGCUAUGUGAAGCUUUUGUAUGAGCCAGGGCCCGUCUAGAAGUGGCUGCUCAGCGGAAGCAGCGCUCCUUUAAUUGUUAAAUUUGUACUGUGCUUCUCACCCACAUCCCAAUUUUUAGUGUUUUCCCUCAAGGCCCUGCUCUGUUGCCCCGGGCCUGGCUGUGAAAACCUCAGCUGUUGCUGUCCCUGUGUUUAACCGCCUGUGUUUCUGAGCCUCACCAUUCACAGAAAAAAAAAAAAAAAAAAAAAAAAAAAAAAAGAAAAAAAAAAGCUUGAAAACGUGAGCCCAGCACUCUCAAAGGAAACAAUUCUAAUCAUUCUCUUUUUUCCCUUACCACUGCGAUUUAUUUAAAAAGGGACUCUGGGGCCUCACCCAGGAGUUUCGGGUGCUGCUCAGCGUGGGGAGAGCAAGCACAAAGCCACCGCUGCCGCCCGGGGAAGCGUGGCGAGCACAGCUCUGCGCUGCCCACCCUGCUCCCUUCCAGCUUGAAAUGCAGAGCCAGCCGAACAAGCAGCGUUAGGUGCAAAAGGGGGAGGAAGGAGGCGACGACAGCACCGUUCCUCCACCAGGAUCAGUGCCAUGGCUCAAGGCCCUGCAGGCUGUGCAGCACCACCGGGACCAUCCCUGCCCUUCAGAAGUGGUUUGGGGGUCUUAGGGCAUUCAUCUUGCUGAAUAGGACCAUGAGGAAGCCCAGUCCCAGGAGCAGGAGGACAAAGGAAGAGGCCACAAGGCUGCUUUCGCUGCCUGCCUAGGGCGCACAUGAUCAGGAGCCCCGUGUGCAUCCCUCGCCCCUUCUGUAACUCCCCCCGUGCUCAUGGUUCCCCACUCUGAGCUGCUUCGGGAGCACAGGGACUUUUGAGGGGAUUUCUGGAGCCUGCCUCAAGACGCUUUGGCUGCGGAGAGGGCUCUCGGCAGCAGCGUGGGGAAAGGGCAGGUCCCCACUUUGGGCAGGAUGCUAAUGGCGCAUCGCAGUAGGCAGGCUGCGAACACAAACCCUGGAAGGCUGUUGCCACUGAUAACACCCAUCUGCUGUGGCAUCAUGUCCGUUGACAUAACCUUAAUUAAUGACAUUACCAAGCUAAUGAGGAGAUAAACCACCGAUCCCAGGUCCUGUUAAGAAAUUGUCUUAAAUACCAGUCCCUAAUCGCUAUGGAGAAACAGACAGUGGGCCAAAACGCACACCUGGAGCGAAGAGGUGUGGUGCUGUGUUUGCUGGUGAAGCUGCGUUUGUUUACUCCGGGACUGACUGCGAACCGUCCUGAUUAACACACGGCGGGCGUGCGCUGGGCGGGAAGUUGUAAACAGCCCCGGCCUUAUGUAAUGGCACGGCUCUUGUGCAAGAUCUGUCAUCCAGAUGGCAGCAGGAUUGAUGUCUGGGGAGAUCAGCAUCGUGCCAGCCUGGGGUGCAGAUGUGCGUGGGAGUGCACCAACCCCAGGCUCGCUCUUCCCAGACCACGGGCGGGCACAGAGGGGCU
rnacentral:lncRNA from 1 species